CCCAUUUAGAUUGACUAGGCUGCCAGUUGUCUAGCUCGAUUGUAGCAUACCACUUUCAUGCAUGCUGAAAUUGGGCGUUACUUUUGGUUAAAAUUAGUAGAAAAAAACUUCUAUCCAAAAAUAAUUUAGGCUUGGCUAGAAAUUAUUAUUUUUUGCUUGCUUUGAUUGACUAGUAGUCUAGUUUUGCUUGCUUUGAUUAAUUAUCUAUGUGCUAGCCGCAAGGUACUCUAGUUUCUGGCUAGAUCUGUGUGCUUGUUUGCAAUUAACUUGGUUAAUCCCUUCAUUAAUGGGCCCUUUCCUAAUUCAGCCCACAUCUCCACCGAAGCCCAGUUGAAGUCUCACGUAUAUGUCCUUGUAUUCACCUGGCCGUCAAUUCCUUAUACCUAGCCACACGAUCCUCCUUCCCAUUUGCUUGGAAACCAACCACUUCCCAUACCCAGCCGUAGCCAGGAAGAGGAGGAGCCUCUGGAGUUCGCCUUGGCCGUGGAGAGUAGCCGGAGUCCCUGGAGAUUGCUUUGGUUGUGGAGGAGAAGAGCAGCGACGCCAGCAGAAAGGAGGAGGAGAACAGUAGGCGUGUACACCCAUCUACAGCAGCAAGUGAAUCCCAAGCAGGUCGCCCAGAUCAUCCUUUGAUCUAGGUAUCCAUCACUUCGUUUGGUCCAUGUUAAUUCGUUUCCACAUGUGAAUUCUCAUCAGCUGAUCAGGAGCUCUGUUAGAUCAAUCAACUUGUGGUAAGGAUCACGUAGUGUGCUGGUUCCAGCCGCAUGAUAGAUGCGCCAUGGUUGCUACAAUUUUUGUCCCACUCGAUUGAGAGAUAUAGAUGAUUACAAGUGCAGUCCAGCCUAAUUUUUGUCUACCCCUACACCUGAUUAAUCUACCACUUGGAAAAUUUGAUCCAUGUCUUGCAGCCACAUGAAAAUGUACAUGUGUAGCUUAUCUCCUGAAGAUUAGUUUUGGCUGAUUCCUAAUCCCAUGCAAGAGUAAUCACUUUUGAUGGUUUCAUUCCUGUUUUUAUGUGUACUUGCAGAUCAUAAUCACUAGAACGCGGAGGAACUUAAAUCAUUUUUUUUCUAACGUGUGGAUUGUUUACAGUCACUGCCUAACAAUGCGUUUUUGUAUUAUGAUCGUGUUUCUAUUAGAGAUCUCAAGCUUUAAACUUUUCUGAACAUUGCCAAACGUCCAGGUUGAUGUAAAAAUGAUAUUACACUAAGUAACUAGCAUUUUUGCUAGGUUUCCAUAACACCUGAAAUAAUAUUCUUGUGCUAUAAACUGUUGUAUUGCUGCAGUAGCUAAUUUCACCAAAUUAGUAGAAUUGUUUCCUGUGUAGCGCUGUAUGUAUUGCCUUGUGAUGAUUCCAAUGUGUGCUGAUUGUGAGGAAUACUUUGUACCUGCUAGGAAUCGGUUGUUGCCAUCUUAUUUGGUUUCAUUUGGAGUUUCUGUUAGCUCAUCUUGCGCCUGUCAUUUAUAACGUAUACGCGAGGACGUUGCUUAUGAGUUUGCAGGACCAGAAGUUGGAGAAAAAGUGCAAGGUGCCACCACAUUUCUUUCACUUAUAUUUUCGCAAAUAUCACUGCUUUCCAAAACUGCAUGAGUCCUUUUUAAUUGGUAUAUUAUAGCCUAUCAUCGGAUACGAUGCCAGUACUAGAACAUACCCUGUAGCGAAACCUCUGAAAUUGACUUAGUAAUUACAUGCUUAGCCAUGCUUAGAAUAGUUCAUUAAUUUCUUUGCGUGAGUAUCUCUUGGUGACUGUUGGUCAUCGAGGGAGGGUGUUAAUCACUUAAUGAAACAUUGGUAAUUACUAAGAUGAGACUGGCCGGCUUGUGUGAUAGUGCCAGUGGUGAAUGAAUUGUUGGAGAGGUGUUUUGCUAUUUUCAACUAAGGGUAUGGUGGGCAUCGGUCGGUGAUGGUGGAGGGACCGAAAUGUCCUGGGGCUUGUGCUAGUGCCAACUGUAUCUUAUAAGGGAAAUGUCCAAUUUUCGCAUACUUCAUUUAACCUGUACAACCACAUGCUUAUAUGGGUACGGCGUACCAACUAGGUUAGCGUGAAUUGGUGGCAUCUCAGCCAAGUGGUGGUUUGGGUCUCGCGAUUCGAGACUCAGGAAUUAGCUACUCCUGGCAGUUGUUGGCGCAAGAGGGGCUUGGAGCAGGUGCGAUCACACCUCCGACUGGGAAACCUUAGCGGGCUGAGACAAUACCAUGAAACGUUAAUUGAAAGGUCACGUAAUCGACGUCAUUGCUACUCUUGCCGGAGGACAGCAAUGGGGUAACACGUCGGUUUCUUGUGGGUCCAGUGUACAACCUCCGAAGAGUGUAAAACUAUUCGAAUAGCCGUGUCCGCGGUUAAUGGAUGGGUGAAGUUGCAUCUUGGGUUAUCUACCUGUUUUUAUUUGACACGUGUGUGCGUGCGCGCGUGUGCGCGCGUGUGUGUGUGAGUUGUGGUGUUGGAGGUCACGAAUCAAAGAGGAUUCCGCUGCAUAACCGGUGUCGCCGCUGAGCGUCAUUGGUCAGUUUAUUCAAUAAACUUGUUUGUAAAAUGUGUACAAAUGUCUUCUCAAAUUAAUCUAAAAUUUGACUUAGACAUAGAGAUGUUAUUUUCUGCAAAUUAAACUUAGCUCCACCAUACAGCCUCAUAUAGAGUCUUGCAUAAACAUUAAGGGUAGUGUAGGGUGACAUAACUGAGUACCAUGAGUGUACUCAUGGCGGCUAUUCUGUAAUGUAUUGAUUCAGAGGGAGGAGACUAGAACAGCGAGUAUGACGAGGAGGAUUAGGGACGAUGUUGCUGGAUUUACUUCAACAUUUGCUUGUGGAGUUGGCGCCACAUGAUUUAUCUUCCGCUGCUAUUUCUCAGACUUUGACACAUUGUUUACAAGUUAUUACUUUCAGAUUCUGUAAUCAAGUACAAUGUUAAGUACUAUCAUUUUGAUUAAUCUCGUGAGCUCUGUUAUACACUUGUAAUUGCUCUUGUAUGCUACUGAUCCUUGGGACAUACAUGAGUUGAGUGGAUUCUGGCCCGUGGUGGCUGGGGUUCUUACAUCGAUACUAAUAUUUGGCAAGGUCCAUCAUGCACGUAGUGGUGGUAGAGUGGUGAAUGAACAGAUAUCAACUGUAAAUUAAUAGUUAGCUCGCUACUAAUCUUAGACCAGGCCCAUUAAUUAUGCACAUAAUUGUGACAGUUAGUAGUGGAUGAAGGGACACUAACUAAAAUUUAAUUUAAUACUCCCUCCGGCCGGAAUUACUUGUCGUAGAUUUAGUACAAAGUGUGAUGAAUGAACUGCGAUCUCCUACGAUCUCCUAUUAAUUAAUCGGUAUCUCGCUACUAAUUUUAAGUUGGGGCCCUUAAUUCUGCACAUAGUGGUGAUAGGGAGUAGUGGACGAACAAACACCGGCUGUCAAUUAAUAGGUACUCCCUCCGUUCCAUGAACAUUGGCACAGUUUUGAACUAGAACUAGUUCAAAGCCGUGCCAAUCUUUAUGGAUGGAGGGUGUAGUAUGUAGAUAUAGAUAUAGAUUAGUUCACAUGCUUUGACUCGUUGUUGUAGUAAUCAUGAGAUCCAUUUCAUUAUUAUAAGCAAAGCGGAUACAGAUUAUCUCAAUACAACAUUUUGAUUAAGUUUCAAUUAUUCUGUAACAGGAUCUUAAAGAGAACGUCCGGAACACCGCUGAUUCUGGACAGUCGGCCUAGCCAAUAUGUCAGUGAUCCAAGCCUUCAAGCAGUGAAGCAUGUGGGGUGGCCAACAAGUAGUGCGCAAUUGGAAAAUGGCUCAGAUCAGCUAGGCUGAAGAAAUCCCCAGCUAAGUACUUGAACUUAGCUAGGCGAGCUUCAUACACUUCAAAUGUUAUCUUCAGUUUCUUCACAUUUUCUUCUACAACCUUGUCAUCAGUUUCUCCACCAAGAUAAACGGGGAGUAUGAGGCAUUGGUGGAUGAUCACAUCCAUGGUCCCUGGGCCUGUAAAAUAGGUGGGAUUCGACCUCUAGCCACAUAUCAACCAUGACCGAGUCAGAAAAGUUAUCCUCCUUCACAAGUUCAGAGUGGUUCUUGCGAAAAAUUUACUUUGAAAUUGCACGUGAUUCUAUCAUUGUAGUUAAGAUACACAUGGAUGAAUACUAAUGGAAAAGAACUAAAAAAUGAUUACACAAUGGGAAAGCAAAAGGGGUUAUCUCAAUUUAUUGAAACCAUGGGGACGAGGCUGCCUUUAGGUUUAGCAAUUUAUGACAUUUUUUCUGGAGUUUAUUAGUUGAUGAGUAGUGUUAAAUCAACCACUCCGUUCGUGAGUGUUUCUCUGCAUUCUACAAUUGAUGUGACCAUAAACUUUAUACUCUAGUCGACAAAGAUAGUUCCCGAAAUGUUGCAUCUGGUGACAGGGGAGGCGAUUCGGGUCGACUGGGGUAGAUCCGCCGAAGCUCUCCGGGAACCUGCGGCAGGGGGGUCCCUGCCUUUCCCCAGGCGGGAGCAUGGAGGAGGUGGGGAUCGUCGGAGCUUGUGCCCCGGCGAGCCGGAGACCGGCCUCCUUGAAAGUGAGCGGUGGCGGGCUCUGAAGGGGAAAGUUCGGGCAGCGAUUGAAGCGGGGUGGAGCCUGCCGACAGGAGCGUCGGUGGGCAAGAGGCAAGGCGGCGAGGAUCUCCUGCCGGAAGUGCAAGAGAUGCGGUCACGCCUGCUCGACAUCUUUCGCAAGGGAAGCGCUGCAAGGGCUCCUACCCAUCAGGUAUCUCUCGCCCCACCCACCGCUCUACCUGUUCCUGCUCCGGGUAGUCUUGUGUCGGUCGUGAGCGAGCUCGGUGCCGCAGCCGCUGAUGAAAUCCAGGGACAAUCCCCUCUAUCCGUACUGGGUUCGUUCAUGUGUGAGCCGGAGAAAGGCCACGAUGGGAAACAUAUUGGGAGGCAAAUGCCUGCGGAGGGGAGCAUCCCCGCGCUUGUGCGUGAGAUCCAGAUAGUCAAUUUUGUCGGUUUAAAGUUCAGAUUGCGUGCCGCCCACCAAGGCCGGCCAUGGUGGACGAGGAACUGCAGUGGGCUGCUGCUCGUCUGGUUUCAGAGAUGGGUUGAUGCGCAGGACAGAUGGAAUUUCCUGGGAGACCACAGAUUCAGGCCGGGAGGACAAGGGGAAGGAGAAGACACAGGCGGAUUAAUCGACAGUAAUUCAGGGGGAAAGAUCCCGAGGGGGGAUUCGGAAGAGUUGGCCAGCGCUGAUUGGGGAUUUGCUCCAUCGGAUCUGAUCUCCAGGCAUCCAUUUCGGGCGCCUAACAUCCAUGAGCGUUGCCUGAGGAGCAAAUUGUGUGCCUUUCCUUCGGACGUUUUUAUGGAUCCCCUGUCCCCCAGAUGGAGGCGCAAUCUCUGCGAUUGCCGGGCGAUCGCCGCCAGGAACUUUCCUUUAGCAGUGGUUUGUGGGGAGCUGGCUAUUUAAUCACGGUCGAUGGACUGCAAUUUGGUACCCCCCCCCCCCCACGCCCCCACGAGCACUACUACAAUUCCACGGCCACCAUGAAUGAAAGCCAGGGCAGUGCCGCGGACUUGCCACUGUCCGAGUUCCGCCGCCGUCCUGACAAAGCCCCAAUGAAGGACACAAGAGGGAAAGAAGGGCGCCAAGGAUGCAGGUGCGGGCACAUCCAAAGCCAGAGGGCUGCCUGGUUGGGAGCCGCCGGGGGAAGUGAAGAAGGUCCUGGUGGUGGACAUGGAUGAACUGCAGAAGGAGAUGCCGAGCCAGUGGCUGAUCGUCGGAAAGUACUAAACCACCCACACCUUCAGUUCCACUGGUCUGUUUAACCACAUGCAUCACGUGUGGCAGCUGAGGGGGGGGGGGAUGGAAUACAAAGAGAUGGCGGAUAGCCGCUUUCUGAUCAUCCUGGAUGAAGAAGGCGACUUACACCACAUUCUGGUGGUGGCAGCGUAUGACGGGCACAGCACCGUAGGGGAGAUGAAGCUUGACAUUCUCUCGAUCUGGAUCAGGAUCUUUGGCGUGCCGGUCCCUAUGAUGAAUGAGAGGGUGGGAAGAGAACUAGGAGGGCUUGUGGGCAAAGUCCGGAAUGUGCAUGCUGAUAAUAGAGGGAAGAUCUGGGAUAACUUCAUCCGUGUCCGGAUUGAGCACGUGAUGACUGAGCCGCUGAAGAGAUGCAGCUACAUUGAAGAAAAGGGCAAGGGAGAGAAGGACAAGGACAGGAUGCGCACCUGCCAGGUUAAAUAUGAGAAGGUGCCGAGGUUUUGUUUCUACUGUGGCAGGAUCGGCCACGAUGCAAAGUCAUGCCUCAUGCUAGAAGAGCUAAAGGCAGUCAGAUUCUGCACCGAACAGCGUGCAUCCCCAUACAGGCAGUUCGAGCACAGGAGCAAAGAAGCACCUGAGAUUUGGGGCGCCGUCGUCGCUCACGUGGAAGCCUACCAUGCAAGGUCAUGCCAUCGUGGAUUCUAAGGAUCGCACGGUCACAGACCCGGUGACUGCUGCAGUCAGGGAAGUCACGCAGGCAGUGACCAAGCUGCAGAUCACUGAAGAGGGAGAGAAAGGAAAGACAGAGAUGCAAAAGGCUGAACAGGAUGCAAUGAAGGCGAAGAAGAAGACCGUUGCUCGUCGGGCAAGGUUGGUUGCGAAGAGGGAUCGCGAAACAGCUGGAAAUUUUGUAAAAGCGAAGGACCAGAUCCUGGGGAAGAGAGGGUUGAUGGAACCCACAGAGGAAGAGGAGGACAAAGAGGGAGGAGUUGACAUGCAAAAGAAGGCGAAGGCAUCGGUGGCUGAGGAAGAAACAAGUAAGCCGGAAGAGGAGAAGGACAAGCAGAAGGAGGCAACCAGCCCUGGGGCCGCUGGUCACCUGAUAGGCGUGGAUGAGCACGCCUAUCAGAAGCCAUGACGAUCCUAAGCUGGAACUGCCGGGGGAUUGGCCAACCCCGGACAGUUCAAGAGCUCGUUAGGCUUGUGCACGCUCAUCGCCCGAAGAUUGUUUUCUUGUGUGAGACCAGGCAGCUGCAGGGGGUAGUGGAGAAGCUUAGGUGGAGGCUGGGCCUCAAGAAGGUAGUGUCCUUCGAGGGAGAUGGAAAAGGUGGGGGACUAGCCAUGCUCUGGGAAGAAGGGGCAGAGGUUGAACUUCUUAAAAAAAAUAGCCGGUUCAUUGAUGUUUACAUUCACAAUUUCCCAAUUAGAAUAAAAUGGAGGUGCACUUUUGUGUAUGGUGAGCCGAGUUCACAGUUGAGGCACCUUAUGUGGGACCUGGUUCGCCGAAUCAGACCGAUGGCUGCUGGCCCUUGGCUGAUGGCCGGAGAUUUUAAUGAAGUCAUGUGGCAGGGUGAACAUAUCUCGGCGAGACGUAGAAAUGAGGGUCAAAUGGCUGCUUUCCGAAAUGUGCUUUCGGAGUGUGAUUUGCACGACUUAGGGUACUCGGGCCAUCCGUGGACCUUUGACAACAAACAGAUGGGACACAAGAAUGUUAGGGUCAGGCUGGACAGAGCAGUCGCCACCCCUGAUUGGUCUACUGGAUUUCCCCAUAGCCGCGUUGAACAUCUGGUGUCAAGUAGGUCAGACCAUUGUCCGAUCCUCAUCAGCUUAUACGAGGAGUUCUGGGAGAGGGAUGAGCAGCUCCCCAAGAUGAUCGAUGAGGCUUGGCAUGAUGGGCCGCAGGCUACAGACUUGGGUCAGAUAUCUGACAAGCUUCAUUCUGUCAUGGGCUCGUUACAUGGAUGGAGCAAGAAAAAGUUUGGUAAAGUCGGAAAGAGGAUUAGUAAGUUAAAGAAGAAACUGGCUGUGAUUAUGGGUUUGUGGGACGACAAUUCUGUCCGUGAGCAGGGGGCCAUAAGAAGAGAGAUAGAUGAACUGCUAGAAAUGGAGGAAAUCAUAUGGAACCAAAGGUCGAGGAUCGGCUGGAUAAAAUGGGGCGACCGGAAGACGAGUUUUUUCCACCGGAAAGCUCCUUGGCGGUCUAAGAAGUAUAAAAUCUCCGUGAUUCAAAAAGAUGAUGGAACCGAAACCAGUCAGAUUGAGGAAAUGCACAAACCACCGAUUUCUUCAAGGAGCUCUGUACGGCGGAUCCUAGAGUUGAUCCGGCAAGGGUGCUGGAUGCGAUGUCUGACAGAGUUGAUGAGGCUAUGAAUGUGCAGUUGUGCAAGGAGUUUUUAGACGAAGAAAUCAGUGAAGCGCUGUUUCAGAUUGGGCUGGGGAAAGUUCCUAGCCCAGAUGGAUUCCCGGCCCGCUUCUUCCAGUGUAACUGGCUCACUCUAAAAGGUGAGAUUAUUCAGGCGGUGAAACGGUUCUUCUCAGAUGGCAAGAUGCCGGAUGGCGUGAACAGCACGUCCAUCGUCCUGAUACCCAAAGUAAAAGAGCCGAAGCGACUAAAGGAUUUUAGACCGGUAAGUUUAUGCAACGUGAUCUACAAGGUGAUCGCAAAAUGCAUGGUCAAUAGAUUCAGACCUUUGCUGCAGGACCUGAUCUCUCCAACUCAGAGCGCAUUUAUACAUGGGAGAAUAAUUACGGAUAACGCUUUAAUCGCGUUUGAGUGCAUUUUUGCGCUUUAGAAAAGCAAGGACGUGAAGGGAAAUUUUUGCGCGUAUAAGCUUGACCUAACCAAGGCCUAUGAUCGUGUGGAUUGGAGAUGCUUGCGGGGUGCUGGGGUUCUGCGCACAGUGGAUAGACUGGACAAUGGAGUGUGUUACUUCAGUGGUGUAUUCGAUGCGCUUCAAUGGGGAACUCUUGGAACAAUUUCGACCCACCCGUGGCUUGAGACAGGGGGACCCUCUCUCCCCGUAUCUGUUCCUUAUAGUCGCUAAAGGACUUAGCGCCUGUAUACAGAAGAGAAUUGAGGAUGAUUCCCUUCACGAGCUGAAGCUGACUAGACGUGGCCCGGGCAUUUCCCAUCUCCUCUUUGCUGAUGACAGUCUGCUCUUCUUCGAGGCCACAACUGGACAUGCGCAGAUCCUUAAGGAGAUACUGAAUACGUAUGAAACAUGCACGGGCCAACUCCUUACCCCCAGAAAUGCUCCUUACUGUUGGGGAAUUCGUGUGCCCCCAAGGAUGGGACACAGGUUGCUGCAAUUUUGGGGGUGACUAUGGUUGAUUUUGAUGAAAAGUACCUUGGUUUGCCCGUUCCGGAGGGGCGUAUGAAAGAUGGAAAAUUUCAAUCCACCAAAGACAAGGUUUCAAAGAGAUUAAAUGAUUGGUCUGGAAAAUACGUCUCAAGUGCCGGUAAAGAGGCACUGAUAAAGGCGGUGAUCCAAGCUAUCCCGACUUACAGCAUGAGCAUCUUUAAGUUCUCAGCUAACCUGUGUGAGGAGUUGGAACAAAUGACAAGGAAUUUCUGGUGGGGCGACGAAGAAAACCGGAAGAAAGUUCAUUGGCUAGCGUGGGAGAAACUCCUGAAGAAAAAAAAUCGUGGAGGCAUGGGAUUCCGUGAUCUGAGGGUCUUUAACCAGGCAUUGCUUGCAAAGCAAGCUUGGAGACUCAUUGAACACCCGAACAGCCUCUGUGCUAGGCUGUUGAAGGCUAAAUAUGAGAAGGCUAAAACACAGACACCAGCUACCGUCCAUGACAAGUUGGCCGCCUACUAAUGAGGACAGACACCAGCUGUCAAUAAUUCUAUCGUAGUUAGCCGCCUCCAUCGGAGGGCAGACACUAACCGCUAGUCUAUCGCAGUCAGCCGCCUACUACUGAGGACAGACGCCACUGCUCCCGGGGAGGUAAGACAUUAAGAUGGCAUUACUUCAGCUAAGCCCCGCCAAUACAGGGUCAUGUGGUCAACGCGGUCGCUACGGCGCUUGAGCACAAGUAGGGCAAUUGUUGAUUAAACCUUAUAGUGAUAUCCUUUUGUAGCCGAACCCACCUUCCAGUGGCAUGAAAGCCAGGCUUGAUAGCCUCCAAACAGGGUCCGAGCUACCAGCCAUAAUAGUUCAUCGACUGCUCCAUCAGCCGACUAACACAUCCAGGUCAUAUUAUUUAUAAGAUAACUUUUCUUUUGAUGCAAGUGCUAUCAAUAGAAUAUACUGCAAAGCUUUGAUAAAACAUAGUCAUCAGAUAUGAACAAGAACUGGACUUGCCUGAGAUACCUGGAAGAUCAUGUAGCAAUCAAUGAAGAACAAUGUUUAACACCAAGAAUUCCAAAGUAGAGUCAAACUGAAAAAAAUGAAUGAAAUCCAGAUAAGGAACACACCAAGGAUCAUAUAAAAGCACGAUUGAGAUGCAUGAGCCACAACCUGCUGUGCUGGUACAGAAGUACAGACAACUAGCUUAUUUCAUGUUUCAAUAAUUGUUCUAUCCUAUGAUAGCAGGCAGCGUUUGAAGGACAAGAGAUGAGGGCUAACCUUCUAUUCUCUUACACCUCUAGGGUUCCCUCAGUGGAUAUAUAUAUAUAGUAGUACAGAGAAAGGUAUAUGGGCCACAUGGGCCAACUACACAGCCCACUCACUGUCCAGCAACAACUAUUCAACACUCCCCGUCAAGAUGGAUGAUGGGAUGAUAGAUGUCUAUCAUUCACAUCUUGUCACAUGCCAACUUGCAUUCCUUAGCUUCCAACCCCUUUGUUAAGUAGUCUGCAAUCUGUCGUCCAGUACUUACAUAUCCAAUCUGAAUAAUUCCUGCAUCCAAUUUUUCUUUGAUGAAAAAUCUGUCAAUCUCCACAUGUUUGGUUCGGCCGUGCUGAACUGGAUUAUUUGCUAUGCAUAUGGCUGACUUAUUAUCACACUAGACAUUUAGACAGCCUUCCCUUAGUACCUUUAACUCUCCUAAAAAAUGCCUUACCCAUAACAUGUCACUCAGACCUUGUGACAUAGCUCGGUACUCUGCCUUUGCUGUAGAUUUUGAUACAACAGACUAUUUCUUGCUUCUCCAUGACACAAGAUUUCCUCCCACAAAUACACAAUACCCAGAAGUUGACCUCCUAUCAUCAAGACAGCUUCCCCAAUCUGCGUCGCUGUAUCCAUCAAUCUCAAGAUGACCAUUGCUCCUAAACCACAAUCCCUUUCCUGGGCUUCCUUUUAGAUAUCUCAAAAUUCUAUACACAGCAUCCAAAUGACCCGUUCUAGGCUCCUGCAUAUACUACCUGCUGACAAUGCUUACUGCGUAUGCAAUAUCAGGUCUAGUAUGGCAAAGAUACAUAAGUUUUCCCACCAACUUCUGAUAUCUUUCUUUGUCAACCAGUUCACCAGUCUCCGCGGUUAUCUUAUUAUUCUGAUCUAUGGGGGUUGCAGCUGCAUGACAUUGUGUCAUUCCUGUUUCAUCUAGGAGAUCCAGAAUAUACUUACGUUGAGACAACAGAAUUCCCUUCCUCGAUCGAGCUAUCUCAAUGCCAAGAAAGUACUUUAGCUGUCCAAGAUCUUUUACUUCAAAGGCAUUUCUCAAACAUUUUUUCAACUCUACUAUUUCUGCCUCAUCAUCACCUGUAAUUAUAAUAUCAGCCACAUAAACCGCCAAGAUGGUGAUCUUCUUCUUUGAAUGCUUAUAGAACACAGUGUGGUCUCCAUUACACUGUCUAUACCCUAUGUCACAAACGGCACGUCUGAAUCUAUCAAACCAAGCUCUAGGAGAUUGUUUCAGUCCAUAAAGAGAUUUCUUCAGUCUACAUACUUUUCCUUAAUUUCCAGCUGCAGCCAUUCCUGGUGGUACCUCCAUGUAUACCUCCUCCUGAAAAUCUCCAUGCAGAAAAGCAUUCUUCACAUCCAACUGAUGGAGAGGCCAUCCAAAGUUUGCUGCACAAGAUAUCAAGAUUCUAACAGUGCUCAUCUUUGCCACGUGAGCAAACGUCUCAUCAUAGUCAAUUCCAUAUGUCUGACUAUAUCCCCUUGCAACCAAUCGUGCCUUAUAUCUCUCUGUCUUUCCUUCUGGACUUUGUUUGACUGUAAAAACCCACUUGCACCCAACAGCUUUCUUCCCUGUUGGAAGUUCAGUCAUCUCCCAAGUUUGAUUCUUCUUCACUGCUUCCAAUUCUUCUCUCAUGGCCUCACACCAUUUUGGGUCUUGUUUUGCUAUCUUCCAAUUAGUUGGUACAGAAACACUUUGAAGUGAUGCUAUAAAUGCGUUGUAUGAGGAUGAGAGUCCAUCAUAUGACAAAUAGUUAGCUAUGUUAUGUUCAAAGCCAUAUCUGUUCACAAGUUUUGAUGCAGCCGCUCCUCUCCCUUUCUUCAAAGCAAUUGGCCAGUCUAUAGAUUCUUUGCUAGCAUCAGAUUGCACAUCCAAAGCAUCUGACGUGCUAUCUCCAGAUGAAUGUUCCUCAUGCACAUGUGGCUCCCCUUGCACCUGAAUAUCAUUCUCCCCCUGUUCAGCUUGCUCCCCUUGUGCCUCAUUUACAUCUAUUUUCCUCCUCUGUGAGUAAACCCGUAAUGGCCUCUCACCCUCUUGAUCCCUUUGUUGCUGAGCAAUCAUGCGAUGUUCAGAUUCUAAAGCCGGUGGAAGGAACAGAAAUAGGGAUCGAACCAAUUAAUACAAGUUGAGGUUGAGCUUGAGCUUGAACACGAGGUUGAGCUUGAGCUUGAGCACCUGAUUGACUCAAUUCUCCCCCUCUUGAGCAUCAGGCAAACACAAUUGAUGAUCAAGACCUUCAAAUAGCACACUCAAAUCUGUUGGUUCCCCAUAGAAAGGCUCGGCUUCACGAAAGGUAACAUCCAUGCUGACAAAAGUCCUUCUCUUGGCUGGAUUCCAACACUUAUACCCUUGCUGCCCAGACGGAUAGCCUAUAAAAUGCACUUUACUGCUCUUGGGUCAAGCUUAUUCACUGAAGGGCGGUGAUCCCGGACGAAGCAAGUGCAGCCAAACACCUUGGGAGCAACAGGAAACUUGUUUUCACCAAACAAGAGCUCACAUGGGGAUUUCAUAUUCAGAAUUCAAGAUGGCGUUCGAUUAAUAAGGAAAGUAGCAGUUAGAACAGCUUCUCCCCACAAAAUUUUUGGAACAUUCAUCGUAUACAUGAGAGAGCAAGUUACCUCUAAAUGUGACGAUUUUUCCUUUCAGUCACACCAUUUUGAGGAGUAUCAGGGCAGGAGGUCUGAUGCAUAAUGCCCUUUUCUGACAGGAAUGUUCCAAACCUCUUGUUCACAUAUUCAGGUCUCAUUAUCAGUUCUAAGCAUCUGUACCUGCACCUUGAAUCAAGUACUCACAUAUGCAUAAAAGUUUUGGAAGCAUUCAAACACUUCAUCCUUGUGACGCAAGAGAUAUAUCCAAGUCAUACGAGUAUAGCAAUCGAUGAAAGUCACAAAAUACUUCAUUCCGUUAAUGGACAGAACAAGACAUGUCCAAACAUCAGAAUGCACCAACAUAAAGGGAGUUAUACUCCUGAGUCAUCUGCUCACAUAAGAGGUUCUAGUGUGUUUUGCAUACUCGCACGCAUCACACGUUAGUUUACUCAAAUCUACCUUACUCGUUACAACAGGAUAAACUUUGUUCAUUUUAUCAAAAGAAACAUGUCCCAUUCGACAAUGGUGAAUCAUUGCCAUUGUCUCCUUAUCACCCUGGACCACUGCAAGUAUCAAUGAUGAUUCUUGCCCUCCAUUCUUCUCUCGGUCCAGGUACCAUAGCCCCCUGCAUCUGAUUCCUUCCCCAAUCUUCCUGCCAGUUUCCCCCUCCUGAAUCAAACAUCCUUUCUUGUUAAGAGUGAAAGAACAAUCAAUCUGAUCGAUAAGACUGCUCAGGGAUAUUAAGUUAACUGGGAAAGCAGAUACAUGUAAAACAAUAGCUAGUUCUAUGCCUGGAGAACAUUUCACAAUUCCAACACCUUUUACUGGUUGAGCAGGUCCAUCCGCACUAUGCAUGGUUUGUUGACAAUUAAGAGAAUACUGGUUAUAUGUUUCAAAUUCUCUAAUGUUACCAGUAACAUGCUUAGAGGCACCUGAAUCCAAAACCCACUAAGAUGAUGGUGAGUGGUGAGAGAGACAUUUUCAGAAUUAACUUCAUUGGUGUAGACAAAAUGGGCAAACUGACCGAAGGAACUCUCCCCCUGCUUCUCAUUUGUCUUUGCUUCGCCCUGAGAUGCAUUUGAUUGUCCUCCCUGGUUUUCAACAAUCAUGUUUGCUCUAUUUCCCCCUUGUGAAAAAUUCUGAUUCUGGUUGUAAUUCUGAUUGUAUCUUCCCCUUGUUCGGCCUCUAACACCUCUGUAACCACCUCUACCUGGUCUGCCUCCUCUAUAACCUCCCCUGACUUGACGUGGUGGAGCAGGACAUUGCCAACUAAGAUGCCCUUGCAGCCCACAAUUGUAACGGUCUCUAGUUUCGGGUUUCUCAGACACAAAGUGUGUGGGUCUAGGGGCAGAUUCUCCUUUUCCAGUGCUCUUCAACCUUGUUUCCUCUUGAGCAAUGGCUGCAAUAGCUCCCUCAAGUGAUGGUAACUGUGCAUGAUUCUGCAUCAAGGAUGCUCUUCUAUUUUCAAAUUCUGAAUUUAAUCCUUUCAAAAAUUUCAGAACUCACUUGCCUUCAAUCCACUUCUUUGCUGCCGCCACAAAUCAAGAUCAGCCCACAGUUGCUUCAACUCUCCCACAUAAGUCAUCACCAUCCUCUCGCCCUGAGUUAGGUCAUGAACCCUAUCCUCAAGCUGAGAAACAAGCAUCACGUUUCCUUUGCCUGAGCACAUCUGGGACAGAGCAUCCCACACCUCACGAGCACUUGUAAGAUCUUCAACUGAUGCAGCCACAGAUGGGGUUAAAGAAUUCAGGAGCCACGCAAGAAUACCCGAAUCUGUAGUGCUCCACUUCUUCCAUUCACCCCCUUUCUUGUCUUCAGGUUCACUAACAUCGCCCAGAACAUAUCCCUCCAAGGUCUUCAUCUUCAAAAGAAGCAAUCCUCUCCUUGACCAGCUCAGUAGUUGUUUACCCCUUCCAACUUCACUUCAUUUGGUGUGGCAACUCAAGUUUCUGCACCCCUUCUGUCUGUGCAGAACUAGCUCCCAAAACAGAUGGAAGUGUUCCAUCUGCUGUCUUGGCCAGAGCCACCGCUACAGCAGCAGCAGCAGUUUCCGCACUCUUGGUAGUUAUCAGUUCUGCCAGUGUCUCCAGCGCCCUUGCCAGGUCUUCCGCCAUGCCUCACUCUCACCACAGCUCUCCCCUUGGACUCCUAGAAGCAAGACGCCCGGAUCUGCCACCCCUUGCAACAGGACGCCUGGAUCUGCCAUCCCUUGCAGCAGAUCUAGUCACUCCAUGGCGGUAAUCUUCACCAGCAGCACCACCACCUCUGUCUCCACAAGCUCUGAUACCAUGAAGUACAAGAGAUGGGGGCUAACCUUCUAUUCUCUCACACCUCUAGGGUUCCCUUAGUGGCAUAUAUAUAUAUAGUAGUACAGGGAAAGGUAUAUGAGCCACAUGGGCCAACUACACAGCCCACUAACUGUCCAGCAACAACUAUUCAACAUCAUUUCACGUAAUACCAGAGACAUGCAAGCGUUCUACAUAAACUUCUGCAAGCAAACUUUAUACAAACAGAAUUCUUAGGCUUCAGCUCUCGUGUGCUAUACGGUGGUCUUGCUCUAAUCUUAUUGUGACUGGUUAGCCUGUUAAGUAUGCUAAUUGUUCACCUAAGUGCUAAAUUCUAAGAACUUGAUGGUAACUCUAAAAUUAAUACCUCUGGACACCUAAUGAGCAAUUAUGUGGAGCUUUACUAAUUAUCAAACGAUGGUUCAGUUGGUACAGCUGUGCAUCUGACUCCAGUUGUGAUCUCGAAGCUAAUAAUUUCAUGGCCUGGUUAUUACUUUCCCUACUGGCAUUGAUCCGAGAACCUGAUUCAAUUUAUGUGGUUCACCAUAGCUCUACAAUGUUCUAAACGACUGAGCAGUGAUCUGAAUAUUAGGUACCUAUGUAUAAUUAACCUGAGCUUUGGUUUUUUUCCUCGAAAUUCAUUAUGUGAUACUAGGUACCGCACUACCCUCAUCCUUUAGCUCCUCGAUCCUGAAGUGGCGUAUGGUUUCUUUAGAGUGGCGAAGGCAGGACAAGUUUUACUUGUGUACUACUUCCUGUAGAUAAUGUUUCCUAAGGAAUUAAACUGAAAUUGGCUUCCUGAAGUCUAACUCUUUUGCUCCACGACCUGAAUUUCCAGUACAGAAGAAUAGGCUCUUGCUUCUCUGAAAAUUAAUGGCCGAGUGUAAUCUAACUUACGGUACUGCAGUGUAAUCUAAAGAAAUGGUCUGAUCCUAAAGAUAACAUGACUAUAUUCAUUUCUUACCUCUAUAGUUUAUCUACACAAGCAUGCAAGCAAAGUCAUCGCAUCCAGAGCAACUAUAGCAGUUCUAAGCUACUAUUAUGCAUUAUACGGAUCUUAAUUAAUUUUCUUCCCUCUAUAUAGUGCUAAACAGAAACCUGCUAUUGCUCUAAUAUCUCUGUUGAUUAUUAAGGCAUAAAUCUGAACUGAAUGCAGGUGUGCAGGGUGUAUAAUUGUACAUAGGUUUCGUCUGAAAUCUUAUAGGAACAGAAUCAUGGUUGCCCAUUAAACGUAGGGUGAUCUUAAAUCUUCUCCCAACCUAGUCCUAUCAUUGUUACCCAAAUAUCGGAUCAGCACACAAGCAAGCAAGCAAACAAGAAAUAAAUUCUAACUCAGAUUCUUGAUGCUCCCAAGUAUAAGGCCUCACCUGCUUGGUAGAUGAUUGGGGGAUUCCCUAAUCUGGCUGCGAUUUGGUCGCCUAAUCCCCAUGGAAUUUCUCCUCUCUCUAACUCCCCCUUCCGCCAUGCCCCUUGCAUGGGCGCUGCCGCCUCGACCCGCCGCUUGGAACAGCACCGGUGGAAUCCUCUCUUCCACCCUCACACUUUCUCCCAACAGCGCCACCUCCUUCCUAACUUUCUUGCUUCCUCUCUUCGUCCUAAUGUUUCGGCUUCCCAGAGACAGCCAUGGCUCAGAGCUUCGUGGUAUGGAGAAUUGCUAUGGUGGCGAGAAAUAGAGGCUCAUGGUCUCCUACUAUUCCCUUCCCCUUGUCGUCUUAGGUGCGUGAUGUUUCUAGGUCACUUCCAUGGAGAAGAGUUCAGUCUUGCUGUGGAGAAUGGCUACAGCAGCAAGAUGGAUAGGUUUGCGGUCUCUUAAAGGUCUAACCGUUUACAUUUUUUUUCCUUCUUCAGUCGAUUUCCCUUGCUCUUAUCUGAUUUUUACGAAGGCCACCGCGUGUCCUAGCUAUGCUACGUGUCUCUCCCUGAAAUGGCUGAAUAGCCAUCAGCCUGACUUGUUGUGCCAGCUCCUGCUU
rnacentral:lncRNA from 1 species